rnacentral:tRNA from 1 species
GAAAUAUGGUAUUCAAGUGAAAGCUGCUAACUUAUCACUUUAGCGGUUAAAUUCCGUUUAUAUUUCU